GAUGAACGCUGGCGGCGUGCCUAAUACAUGCAAGUCGAGCGAACGGACGAGAAGCUUGCUUCUCUGAUGUUAGCGGCGGACGGGUGAGUAACACGUGGAUAACCUACCUAUAAGACUGGGAUAACUUCGGGAAACCGGAGCUAAUCCCGGAUAAUAUUUUGAACCGCAUGGUUCAAAAGUGAAAGACGGUCUUGCUGUCACUUAUAGAUGGAUCCGCGCUGCAUUAGCUAGUUGGUAAGGUAACGGCUUACCAAGGCAACGAUGCAUAGCCGACCUGAGAGAGGGAUCGGCCACACUGGAACGGAGACACGGUCCAGACUCCUACGGUAGGCAGCAGAAUGGUAUCGUCCGCAAUGGGCGAAAGCCUGACGGAGCAACGCCGCGUGAGUGAUGAAGGUCUUCGGAGCGUAAAACUCUGUUAUUAGGGAUGAACAUAUUUGUAAGUAACUGUGCACAUCUUGACGGUACCUAAUCAGAAAGCCACGGCUAACUACGUG
rnacentral:rRNA from 1 species